GAGUAACAGCGCUUAUGAUCCCAGAAACAUGCCUCAGCUGCACGGCUCUCUGAAAUUGAAUUAGCUUCACCUCUUUUUCCUUUCCCCAAGGCAAAAACACCUGGAGGGGAGUGAGCAUAUAUAUACGGCGUUUUUAAGCAGCUGGUUUGUAGAAAGCACAAUAACAACGUAAUUGGGCCAAGAUGGUCAUCGCAACCGUGCUUUCUUAAGCUGGCUCAGACAGCUUCCACUCCCGCCUUAUGCCGGAGGGAUCGCUCUCGCCAGGCGCACGCAGGGGAAGCCGCGGUCCCGCCUCCGAGGUGAGGAGAUGCAACAAUGUUGGGGAAACAUUCACUAUAAUGGUGGAAGGCUUCAUGAGAUUGCCCAGUGCAAACAGAAGAUCUGCAGACUUAUUUGCCGAGGCAACACUGUGGGUACGAAUGAAGCACCUUCCUGUUACUGUACAGCACGAAGACAAAGAAUUCACAUUCAAAGGAACUUAAAUAAAAACUGCAAGAAAAUCCUUUAUUGUACAGGAAAGCAGCGCAAGUGCUUUGAUGUUAAAUCUAAUCUGACUACUCAACACAAGAACAUACAAUUUCUAUUUUAACCUAAUAUAACGACAACAAAAAGAUUUUCUUAUAUUAUUACAGCUAGUGGAGUUAACUUGAGACAUGCCUUUCUCACUAUUAUCAGAUUUUUAUUUAAAAGCACUAUUAGAGAAGAUAUGGACUACAGUUAUGUGAUACUUUUGUUCCUCAUUUUUUGGAUAUGAGCAUAAUAUACUGCUUCCCUUAAUACUUGUGUCUGAACACACAGAUUUUUUGAAUCCAUCAAGAAAUGAACUACAUGUAACCACCUGUAAUUAUUCCACAAUGGGACUUAAGUACUUCCACUAAUAAAAAGCAGGCUGCUACCAUA